rnacentral:rRNA from 1 species
CAUGUGAAAGCAUGCGACUCUUCGGAGGCGUUACACAGGUGCUGCAUGGCCGUCGUCAGCUCGUGUCGUGAGAUGUUUGGUUAAGUCCAGCAACGAGCGCAACCCCUGUUGCCAGUUACCAGCACGUGAAGGUGGGGACUCUGGCGAGACUGCCCAGAUCAACUGGGAGGAAGGUGGGGACGACGUCAGGUCAGUAUGGCCCUUAUGCCCAGGGCUGCACACGUACUACAAUGCCCAGUACAGAGGGGGCCGAAGCCGCGAGGCGGAGGAAAUCCUAAAAACUGGGCCCAGUUCGGACUGUAGGCUGCAACCCGCCUACACGAAGCCGGAAUCGCUAGUAAUGGCGCAUCAGCUACGGCGCCGUGAAUACGUUCCCGGGUCUUGUACACACCGCCCGUCACAUCAUGGAAGCCGGUCGCACCCGAAGUAUCUGAAGCCAACCGCAAGGAGGCAGGGUCCUAAGGUGAGACUGGUAACUGGGAUGAAGUCGUAACAAGGUAGCCGUAGGGGAACCUGCG